rnacentral:tRNA from 1 species
GCGGGAGUAGCUCAGUGGUAGAGCAUCUGCUUCCCAAGCAGAGGGUCGCGGGUCCGAUCCCCGUCUCCCGCUCCA